rnacentral:rRNA from 1 species
GGUCAAGUUAUUAAGGGUGCAGGGCGGAUGCCUUGGCACUAGGAGCCGAUGAAGGACGUGAUAAGCUGCGAUAAGCUUCGGGGAGUUGCACGUAAACUUUGAUCCGAAGAUUUCCGAAUGAGGAAACUCACUUAGAGUAAUGUCUAAGUAUCAUUAAGUGAAUACAUAGCUUAAUGAGGGGAACUCAGGGAACUGAAACAUCUAAGUACCUGAAGGAAGAGAAAGAAAUUCGAUUCCGUAAGUAGCGGCGAGCGAACGCGGAUUAGCCCAAACCAAUAAAGUUUUCUUUAUUGGGGUUGCGGACAUAUCAUAACGAAGAGGUAUCGUAAUUGAAGAGGUUUGGAAAGACCCACCACAGAAGGUAAUAGUCCUGUAUGUUAAACGAGAAGACUUCAGAUAUGAUCCAGAGUACCACGGGACACGUGAAACCCUGUGGGAAGCAGGAGGGACCACCCUCCAAGGCUAAAUACUACCUAGUGACCGAUAGCGUAUAGUACCGUGAGGGAAAGGUGAAAAGAACCCCGGGAGGGGAGUGAAAUAGAACCUGAAACCCUGCACUUACAAGCUGUGGAAGCACAUUUCUUGUGUGACCGCGUACUUUUUGUAGAACGGGCCAACGAGUUACGUUAAGUAGCAAGGUUAAGCACUUAAGGUGUGGAGCCGUAGCGAAAGCGAGUUUUAACUGAGCGUUCAGUUACUUGACGUAGACCCGAAACCGGGCGACCUACCCAUGAGCAGGAUGAAGCGAAAGUAAAAUUUCGUGGAGGUCCGAACCCACGAGCGUUGAAAAGCUCGGGGAUGACUUGUGGGUAGCGGUGAAAUUCCAAUCGAGCCCGGAGAUAGCUGGUUCUCCCCGAAAUAGCUUUAGGGCUAGCCUCAAGGUGAGAGAUACGGAGGUAGAGCACUGAAUGUCCUAGGGGGAAUUGCACCUACCGAAGACUAUCAAACUCCGAAUGCCGUCAUCUUAUACUUGGGAGUCAGACUGUGGGUGAUAAGAUUCAUAGUCGAAAGGGCAACAGCCCAGAUCGUCAGCUAAGGUCCCUAAAUGUAAGUUAAGUGGUAAAGGAUGUGGGAUUGCACAGACAACCAGGAUGUUGGCUUAGAAGCAGCCACUCAUUCAAAGAGUGCGUAAUAGCUCACUGGUCGAGUGAUCCUGCGCCGAAGAUUUCCGGGGCUAAAACUUACUACCGAAGCUACGGCAUCAGUAAUGAUGGGUAGGGGAGCUUCCCAUACGGGUUGAAGCAUGACCGUAAGGACAUGUGGACAGUAUGGGAGUGAGAAUGUUGGCAUGAGUAGCGAGAUGUGGGUGAGAAUCCCACAGGCCGUAAACCCAAGGUUUCCAGGGGCAGGUUCGUCCGCCCUGGGUUAGUCGGGACCUAAGCUGAGGCCGAAAGGCGUAGGUGAUGGACAACAGGUUGAUAUUCCUGUACUACCGAUAACCGUUUGAGAGAAGGGAUGACACAGUAGGAUAAGCUAAGCACACUGUUGGUUAUGUGUGCCCAAGCAUUGAGGCAGUCAAAGUAGGCAAAUCCGCUUUGAUAAUGCUGGGAUGUGAUGGGGAGCGAAAUUUAGUAGCGAAGUAGCUGAUUUCACACUGUCAAGAAAAGUCUCUAUCGAGGUUAAAGGUACCCGUACCGCAAACCGACACAGGUGGGUGAGGAGAGUAUCCUAAGGCCAGCGAGAGAACUGUUGUUAAGGAACUCGGCAAAAUGACCCCGUAACUUAGGGAUAAGGGGUGCCACCAUCAGGUGGCCGCAGAGAAUAGGCCCAAGCGACUGUUUACCAAAAACAUAGGUUUCUGCUAAGUCGCAAGACGAUGUAUAGGAGCUGACGCCUGCCCGGUGCUGGAAGGUUAAGGGGAUCUGUUAGAGCAAUCGAAGCAGUGAACUUAAGCCCCAGUAAACGGCGGCCGUAACUAUAACGGUCCUAAGGUAGCGAAAUUCCUUGUCGGGUAAGUUCCGACCCGCACGAAAGGCGUAACGAUUUGGGCACUGUCUCAACAACAGACUCGGUGAAAUUGUAAUUCCGGUGAAGAUGCCGGAUACCUGCGACAGGACGGAAAGACCCCAUGGAGCUUUACUGUAGCUUGACAUUGGGUUUUGGUACUACAUGUACAGGAUAGGUGGGAGGCUUUGAAACCAGGACGCCAGUUUUGGCGGAGCCAUCCUUGGGAUACCACCCUUGUAGUACUGGGACUCUAACCAUAGGCCAUGAAUCUGGUCUUGGGACACUGUCAGGUGGGCAGUUUGACUGGGGCGGUCGCCUCCCAAAAGGUAACGGAGGCGCUCAAAGGUUCUCUCAGUACGGUCGGAAAUCGUACGUAGAGUGUAAAGGCAAAAGAGAGCUUGAUUGCAAGACAUACAGGUCGAGCAAGGAUGAAAAUCGGACUUAGUGAUCCGGUGGUUCUGCGUGGAAGGGCCAUCGCUCAACGGAUAAAAGCUACCCUGGGGAUAACAGGCUUAUCUCCCCCAAGAGUCCACAUCGACGGGGAGGUUUGGCACCUCGAUGUCGGCUCAUCACAUCCUGGGGCUGUAGUAGGUCCCAAGGGUUGGGCUGUUCGCCCAUUAAAGUGGUACGCGAGCUGGGUUCAGAACGUCGUGAGACAGUUCGGUCCCUAUCCGUCGCAGGCGUAGGAAAUUUGAGAAGACCUGUCCUUAGUACGAGAGGACCGGGAUGGACGUACCUCUGGUGUACCAGUUGUUCUGCCAAGGGCAUGGCUGGGUAGCUAUGUACGGAAUGGAUAAGCGCUGAAAGCAUCUAAGCGCGAAGCCAACUUCAAGAUAAGAUUUCCCACCGCAAGGGUAAGACCCCAGAAAGACUAUCUGGUUGAUAGGUCGAAGGUGUAAGUGCAGCAAUGUAUUUAGCUUAUCGAUACUAAUAGGUCGAGGACUUGACCAA